AGAACAAAUCAACAUUUUAGAAUUCCAUGAACAAUUUAAAAUUCAAUGUUGUGUGUGUGUGUCUCUCUUUCUCUCUCUCUCUCUCUCUCUCUCAGCUUUUCCGUUCCUAUUUUGCUGAUCUUGAAGAAGCUGCCAAGAAGGCUGAACAAGUUCUUCAAAGAUUCAACCCUUCACAGCUGAAAGGGAAGACCAAAGGAAGGCCUAUCAUGGGAUUUGACUUUGGCCAUCUUGUGUGUUACGGAGAAGACCAAAAGCUGCAAAGACAAAUACUUCCAGUGCUAAAGACCAAAAACGUAAAGAAAAUCAGUCACAGCAAGCCGGUCAAACCAGUCCUGUUGGGGAUGAGGAAUGAACAUGGCCUACACUUGUGCCCAAACAGAAAAGAAAAGUUGCACAUUUCCACUGCUCCUAGAAUGAGCAAAUCAGCUGUGCAUCAUCUCUGGGAUUUGGGCAGGAAUUGACUGAAUAUGGAGGAUGAAGCCAGUUGAUGAAGAUAUCAAUUCAAUGGCCACCAAGUGAAGCACUGCUGCCUGAACCCAUCAGAUAUCUGCUGCGAAGACUGCAUUCACGAACAGCUCUACUGCGACAGCUCAGAUGUUACGGGCCAUAAAAGAAACUUACCAACUGAACAACUGGAAGAUAAGAGGAGGGAUUCAUUUAGGCCAUAACUCAAUCAAGAAUCAAUGGACAUCAAGACCAGGUGGUGUGUGAGGAAAGCACAGAGGACUGUCAGAGACUCCAGCCACCCGAGCCAUGGAUUGCUCUCACUCUUAACCAUCAGGCAGAUGUUAUCGCAGAACCUUCACCAGCAGACUGCAAGACAAGUUCUUCCCACAGACAAUCAGACUGAACUGAACUCGUACCAGUAACACCACACACAGCACACCAACCUCAUAUGCACUGCACUCCAUCAGUUACACUGACUGGACUCUGACUCACUAUUAUUCUGCACCCUGACAUUCCGUUUGCAGUAAUUCAUGCCAUACUGCACUGCAAAGAUAUAUAUGUACUGUGAUUAUUGUUUUCA